UUAUCCUCCAGGUUCCCGGCAACAGUUUUGCCGCCAAGGCCGGACUACUCCCUACCACCAGGGGCUUAGCCGGAAAUCUUGUACUCGGGGGUAUCAUUCUUGCAGUUGACAACAAACCGGUUAAAAACAAAGGAGAGUUGAGCGAAACAUUGGAUGAAUACAAUGUGGGGGAUAAGGUAACCUUAAAGAUUCAAAGGGGCAGUGAGAUCAUGGAAGUUGCAGUGAUUUUGGAAGAAGUAAGUUCAUGAGCAGGUCUCCAAUUUAAUAU